rnacentral:rRNA from 1 species
AUUGAACGCUGGCGGCAGGCCUAACACAUGCAAGUCGAGCGAGCGGCGGACGGGUGAGUAAUGCCUGGGAAUUGCCCAGUCGAGGGGGAUAACAGUUGGACACGACUGCUAAUACCGCAUACGCUUGGGUUGCCCAGGUGGGAUUAGCUAGUUGGUGCGGUACUGGCUCGCCCAGGGGACGAGCCCACGCUGGUCGGAGAGGAUGAGCAGCAACACUGGAACUGAGACACGGUCCAGAAGCCGAAGGGAGGCAGCAGUGGGGAAUAUGGCCCAAGGGGGGAAACCCUGAUGGAGCCAUGGCGCGUGGGGGAAGAAGUCCGUGGGGUUGGAAAGCACUCGCAGGGAGGAGGCGUUACUCGCAGAAGAAGCACCGGCUAACUCCGGGCCAGCAGCCGCGGUAAUAC